AUUGAACGCUGGCGGCAGGCCUAACACAUGCAAGUCGAGCGAGCGGCGGACGGGUGAGUAAUGUCUGGGAAACUGCCUGAUGGAGGGGGAUAACUACUGUAAACGGUAGCUAAUACCGCAUACCAUCAGAUAUACCCAGAUUGGCUUAGCUAGUAGGUGGGGUAACGGCUCACCUAGGCGACGAUCCCUAGCUGGUCUGAGAGGCAGACCAGCCACACUGGAACUGAGACACGGUCCAGACGCCGACGGGAGGCAGCAGGGGGGAAUAUUGCACAAUGGGCGGAAGCCUGAGGCAGCCAUGCGGCGUGUGUGAAGAAGGCCUUGGGGUUGUAAAGCACUUUCAGCGGGGAGGCGUUACCCGCAGAAGAAGCACCGGCUAACUCCGUGCCAGCAGCCGCGGUAAUAC
rnacentral:rRNA from 1 species